rnacentral:rRNA from 1 species
GACGAACGCUGGCGGCGUGCUUAACACAUGCAAGUCGAACGGAAAGGCCCUGCUUUUGUGGGGUGCUCGAGUGGCGAACGGGUGAGUAACACGUGAGUAACCUGCCCUUGACUUUGGGAUAACUUCAGGAAACUGGGGCUAAUACCGGAUAGGAGCUCCUGCUGCAUGGUGGGGGUUGGAAAGUUUCGGCGGUUGGGGAUGGACUCGCGGCUUAUCAGCUUGUUGGUGGGGUAGUGGCUUACCAAGGCUUUGACGGGUAGCCGGCCUGAGAGGGUGACCGGCCACAUUGGGACUGAGGUACGGCCCAGACUCCUACGUGAGGGAGCAGUGGGGAAUAUUGCACAAUGGGCGGAAGCCUGAUGCAGCAACGCCGCGUGCGGGAUGACGGCCUUCGGGUUGUAAACCGCUUUCGCCUGUGACGAAGCGUGAGUGACGGUAAUGGGUAAAGAAGCACCGGCUAACUACGUG